AUGCACCAACAGCACAGCCCAGUGUGCUCAGGACUUCUUCAUAGGCUGCUCACAUUAGGCAGUAGUCAGACCACGUCAGCACACAGCAUGGACAUGAGGACCCUUGCUCAGCUCCUGGGGAUCCUGCUGCUCUGGCUUGCAGGUGCCAAGUGUGAUAUCCAGAUGACCCAGUCUCCAUCUUCACUGUCUGUGUCUCUAGGAGACACUGCCACCAUCACUUGCAGGGCCAGUGAGGACAUUGAGUAUUAUUUAGCCUGGUACCAGCAGCAACCAGGGAAAGCUCCUAAACCCUUGAUCUACGGUGCAGAUAUUUUGGAGUCCGGAAUUCCAUCAAGGUUCAAUGGGAGUCAAUCUGGGACAGAGUUCACUCUCAGGAUCAGUGGCUUGGAGCCUGAAGAUGUUGCCACUUAUUACUGUCAACAGCAUAGCAGUUUCCCUCCCACAGUGAUACAAGCCAUAACAAAAACCCCCCAGGGAAGCUGAAGUGUGAGUCUGGGCUGCCCCAGCUGCUCCUCCUGCUGCCUCCACCUGCUCAGAAUGUUGUCAGAAAAGGCC